rnacentral:siRNA from 1 species
AGCGGAACAAAGUGCAGGAGGGAA